rnacentral:snoRNA from 1 species
CAGACUACACUUUACAGGAUCAUUUCUGUAGUCAGUGUUCAGUUAUUUCCAUUUCAAAAUGGCCACCAAAACCAAUUUUUUAUGU